rnacentral:rRNA from 1 species
GAUGAACGCUGGCGGCGUGCCUAAUACAUGCAAGUCGAGCGAACGGACGAGAAGCUUGCUUCUCUGAUGUUAGCGGCGGACGGGUGAGUAACACGUGGAUAACCUACCUAUAAGACUGGGAUAACUUCGGGAAACCGGAGCUAAUACCGGAUAAUAUUUUGAACCGCAUGGUUCAAAAGUGAAAGACGGUCUUGCUGUCACUUAUAGAUGGAUCCGCGCUGCAUUAGCUAGUUGGUAAGGUAACGGCUUACCAAGGCAACGAUGCAUAGCCGACCUGAGAGGGUGAUCGACACCAGAGGAGCUGAGACGCGGACAAGACUACUACGGGCAGCAGCAGGGAAUCUUCCGCAAUGGGCGAAAGCCUGACGGAGCAACGCCGCGUGAGUGAUGAAGGUCUUCGGAUCGUAAAACUCUGUUAUUAGGGAAGAACAUAUGUGUAAGUAACUGUGCACAUCUUGACGGUACCUAAUCAGAAAGCCACGGCUAACUACGUG